AAAAAUCCGGUGGGUCAUAUUCCCUGAGGGGUUAUAGCGAGAGCCGUAAGGCUCAUAAAGUCGCAGACGCCACCCUGCCGAGAAAAUCCUCUAAGGAGUCUUUUGGGUACCCGUACCGCAAACCGACACAGGUAGGCGAGGAGAAAAUCCUCAGGUGCAAGUGAGAAUCAUCGUUUAGGAACUCGGCAAACUCACCCCGUAACUUCAGAAGAAGGGGUGCUCCGUUAGCGUUAGUGGCCUCGCGCCACGAAGCGUGAGGGAGUUGCAAUAAAGAGGCCCAAGCAACUGUUUACAAAAAACACAGGGCUAUGCUAAGUCGAAUACGACGUAUAUGGCCUGACGCCUGCCCGGUGCCGGAAGGUUAAAGGGAGAGGUUAGCCGCAAGGCGACGCUUCGAGCUGAAGCCCCGGUAAACGGCGGCCGUAACUACAACGGUCCUAAGGUAGCGAAAUUCCUUGUCGGGUAAGUUCCGACCUGCACGAAUGGCGUAAUGAUUUGGGCGCUGUCUCAACGAUGAGCACUGCGAAUUUGUGGUACCGGUGAAGACGCCGGUUGCCCGUCAUAAGACGAAAAGACCCCGUGCACCUUUACUACAUCCUAGUAGUGAAUGUUGACGCAAUAUGCGCAGGAUAGGUGGGAGGCUUUGAACUCGGAUUCUCGGAUUCGGGGGAGCCAACGGUGAGAUACCACCCUUAUUGCUUCGACGUUCUAACCUCGUUCUGUCAUCCAGAUCAGGGACACUGCUAGGUGGGUAGUUUGACUGGGGCGGUCGCCUCCUAAACUGUAACGGAGGCGCGCGAAGGUUCGCUCAGGCUGCUUGGAAAUCAGCCGUAGAGUGCAAAAGCAUAAGCGAGCUUGACUGCGAGACCUACAAGUCGAGCAGGUGGGAAACCAGGCUUUAGUGAUCCGGUGGUUCCGCGUGGAAGGGCCAUCGCUCAACGGAUAAAAGGUACGCCGGGGAUAACAGGCUGAUCCUUGCCAAGAGUUCACAUCGACGCAAGGGUUUGGCACCUCGAUGUCGGCUCAUCACAUCCUGGAGCUGUAGCAGGUUCCAAGGGUCCGGCUGUUCGCCGGUUAAAGUGGUACGUGAGCUGGGUUUAGAACGUCGCGAGACAGUUCGGUCUCUAUCUAUGAUGGGCGCAGGAGAUUUGAGUGGGGCUGACCUUAGUACGAGAGGACCGGGUUGGACGGACCUCUAGUGUAUCGGUUGUCGCGCCAGCGGCAGCGCCGAGUAGCUACGUCCGGAAGGGAGAAACGCUGAGAGCAUAUAAGCGUGAAACCCUCCACAAGAUGAGAUCUCCCUGGGUAGCGAUACCCCUAAAGGCUCCUGGAAGAUGACCAGGCGAUAGGUCGGGUGUGUAAGCGCAGUGAUGCGUUGAGCUUACCGAUACUAAUCAGCCGUGAGGCUUGACCG
rnacentral:rRNA from 1 species